AUGUAUUUAGAAAGUCUAUUUUUGCGAAAGAAAAGGAUUGCAUUAAUCAAGGAAGAUCAUUACGAUCCUGUUGGCAGAGGUUGUCAAUUUUAUCGGGUCUAUUUCGCAGCCAUACAGCGGUGCGAGGCACAGAGUUUCUUUUCUGUUUUAAGAGGCGCACACCCCCCGCGCGGAGCUGGGCCGGCCCAUACACUAGGUUCCUUUUCUGUUUUAAGAGGCGCAAAAAAGAGCAAGCAGCAGGUUUCGAACCUGCGACGCACUAGCCACCGCCAAACCCUAGUUUUAGGCGUUUUGGCAAACGGGCGCAUACCCUCCCUGCGCGAUGGGCCGGCCCAUUUAUACCUAUUUUUUCUGUUUCAAACUGCAAAAACCUGCGCGCGUGGAAACUCGAACUCGCGACCUUGCGACCUCCCUCCUACUAGCUAA
rnacentral:rRNA from 1 species